GCAGCGUCUAGCCGGGACCCGGGAACUUCGCCCCGGCCUCACCAGAGGACCUAGGCGACACAGCCUGCUCAGCUGGUAGCGGCGAAACAGCAUCGCCUUGCAUUUGUUUGUUUGUCUUGUUUUGUUUUGUUUGAGGAGCGGGAGAGGAGCGAUGGUUUUUGUUUUGUUUUGUUUUGUUUUCCCAAGAAGGCCCAAGAUCUGUCUCAGACACUCUAGGUAACCCCAGUGAAAGUCAUUGGUUCAACCAAGUUGGACUUGGAUGGUAUCCAUUCGUUGCACCAGACGCCCCAAUAGUACCCAGCCCUGCUGGUGUCAGAGCUAAGAUCCCCUGGAUGAAAAUGACCGUUUUUGGUUGUACAAACAUGUGAUUGCUAACAUCGUCAACUUAACCAGAUCUAGACCCUCCUAGGAGACAGCCCUCUGAAGCCAUGGGACCAGCUGCCUCCCACUCUCAUCACCACGCCUUCCCCACCAUGACAGACUACGCGGGAAUACUGCAGCAAAAGAAAUCCCUCCUUCCUUCCAUAGUGCUUUAUCAGAUAUUUCAUCAGCACAACAAGAAAAAUAGCAAGUACAUCUCUUUGGUUUGGUUUUGUCUUCGUUUAGGCUUGGGUUUUCUUCUCCUAGUACUAGGGAUUGAAUCUACCUUUGAGCCCACUCUUUACUUGCUGUUUUCAAACAGUCUCACUAAAUUGCCCAAGCUUGCCUUGAGCCUGCAAUCCUCCUGCCUCAUCCUCUCCAGUGGCUGGGAUUAUAGACCAGCAUCACCAGGUCCAGAAUAACUCUGCCUUCAAUGCUCUGUGGACACCACCACCCAAACCAUUCUUAGACUGUUGCUUGUUGCCUAGGCUACCCUUAACAUCCCCAAGAAAUACCCCCAAAGAGACCGCUCUGUGUCGUCUCCGUGAUGAAUUUAAGCGAGCAGAUACAUUAUUGUCCUGAUGGUAUUUCUUAUCUUGUCUCCUAGGGUGAAAAGUACAGCUGCCCUUAGCUGUACUCUGCUGUUGCCUGUCUGCUCAAAUUCCUGUGAAGAGAUACCAUCUUCCGGGGGUAUCUCCCUAAAUAAAAGCAAGCCAGUGACUAGGACAAAUUAAUCACACAUUAUGCUGCAGAGACUUUAUUAUAUUCGUAAAUAUUAGUAAGAGCCAAAAAUAAUUUGCACUGAGGAAAUGCACCAGUAACCUUUUUAUAAAUACGAGCCCUAAAGCUCUAAUCAGGCAUGCAGGGUUCUUUGAAUGUCACCGUGGCUUUAAUAUGCAUCAGAAAUACACUUUGUAAAACCCAACUUAAAGGCAAGAUGUUAAAUAACUAUUUACGUCUCAUAUUCUCUCCCAAAUUAAUCAUGUUCCCCGACUCUAACAGGCCUUUUCUCUAGAGUAACUUGCACCUCGCUGGUCUGAUGAAUUUGCCAGAAUUUUAUAACUAAGGACUAUAACACAUUGUGUCGAGACAUGACACAAAAAAGGCAAGAGGCCUCAAAGGUCUGUCAGGGCCUAACGUAGAGAGCACCACACAGAAGACACCCGGUGAUUGCUUACAAGGCUGCUGUGUGGUGCCCUGUUCUCACAUCUUACCAUUGCCUCGUGUGAUAUACACAGCAGCCCUAACAUAGCAGACUGCAUGAAAAAGCUGGGACACAGAGAGGUUUUCACAACUUGCCGAGGUCACACGUACAAAGGAGAGGACCGGAAUCAAGGUGCAGACUGGCCCCUGCAAUGCUCCUGUGUGUAGAUAUGAAUCUGGUGAAACUCCAGGGUUAUGGCUUGUUUCGGUGUGUAUUGUUGCUCGCCUAUGCUCGCUCUGUUUCACUGAGAUGAAAUGUUCCAAAAAGGAGAGCCUGUUCCGAUGUGGCCUUUGCCUUCUAUCACGUCAGCACCAGACAGGCCUGCAAAGAGCCUUCUUUCAGAAAACAAUGGACAUCCACAGUAAUUUCCUUUUUUAAUAUUUUUAAAGUGAUAUCAGCCUUUUUUUUUUUUACACCUUUGAUUACCAUCGAAUAAUACCUCAGAAUUUCCAAGUCCAUUGAAGAAAAAGAGCAAAUAAACUCCCGAGUUCUCUUGUUCUAUAACUUUCAGUUUGUUUCAGCUUUUAUGAUUUUAUUUUGCGAUGGGCUCCCAUUCAGCAGCCCAGACAGGACUCACACAUUUGCUGCCCUCCUUCAGUCUCCCAAACUGCUGCAAUUUCAGACCAGUGCCAUCAGGCCCAACUCGUAGUGUUUGAAGUAACCACUUGCUGUGUAACGCAGACUGUCCUGGAACUCAUAAUUCCCCGGCCUCAAGCCUAACCAAAUCCUGGGGUUGCAAGUGCAGAUGACCACAUGGAACUCCUUUGUAUUAGUAUUAUCUGUGUAUUUGUAAGAAGAAAACAAUGUAUUUAUUCUCAAUAUGAGGGAACUGAAUCCAAGGCCCCUUACACAUCAAGCAAGUACUGUAUCCCUAAGCUGCAUCCCCGGUUA